GAAUACCUGCCCUGUAGGUGAUAUGUGAAAAAGUUAAUCCGGCAAAUUAGAUCUUUCGGGAGCCUGUGUAAUGCUCUGGUGUGCAUGUUGGCCAUCUGCCAAAAGCCUGAAGGAGCAUUUAAGGCACCCACCUAUGUAAUAGGCGGAUCUAAUUUUUCACGUACACGACAGGGCGGGUUUAUU
rnacentral:other from 1 species